rnacentral:misc_RNA from 1 species
AGCUGAGCUAUCCCGACCAUUUCUAAUGUAGCAUCCCAUGCUCAUUUUAUGAAGCUAAUUGGGGUCUAUGUCAAUGAAAAGUACAAGGGGGAUUGCAAAGUUUUCCAAAAAUCCUUUAGGUAAUAUGUAAUUUCUUGGAUCUUUCAAAAAGAUGUCUGGAAGUUUCAGUGUGAGCUAUUGAUUGUGAAUCAUUCAAAUAGGGAUUCCUUGCUUAAUUUGGAUGUGCAUUUUAUAUCACAUGUGAUAAGAGAAAUCUAUUUACGCCCCAAUACGGUUCUAAAAGAAUGAGAAAGAUAAAGGAGAACGACUAAAAAAAGGGAUAGGAUAAGGGCCCUUUUUGGGGAUAGAGGGACUUGAACCCUCACGAUUUUUAAAGUCGACGGAUUUUCCUCUUACUAUAAAUUUAAUUGUUGCCGGUAUUGACAUGUAGAAUGGGACUCUAUCUUUAUUCUCGUCCGAUUAAUCAGUUCUUUAAAAGAACUACCAGACUGUGGAGUGAAUGAUUUGAUGAAUGAAUAUUUGAUUCUUUCUUCAAUAUGGAAUCAAUUCACAUCAAUUCUUCCAUUUUUUAUAUAAAAAAAACAGAUACAGAUUUGGGCCAUCAUUAAUCAUUUGAUAUAGUUUUCAAUAGAUACAUUUAUCCUUCAUCCUUUCUGAAGUUUUGAUGGAAAGAUUCCUCUACCAACAUAGUCAACUCCAUUUGUUAGAACAGCUUCCGUUGAGUCUCUGCACCUAUCCCUUUUUUGCUUUCUGAACCUUUGUUUUGAGAAAACAGGAUUUGGCUCAGGAUUGCCCAUUUUUAUUAAUUCCGGGGUUUCUCUGAAUUUGAAAGUUAUCACUUAGUAGGUUUCCAUAC